rnacentral:rRNA from 1 species
GGUUAAGCGACUAAGCGUACACGGUGGAUGCCCUGGCAGUCAGAGGCGAUGAAGGACGUGCUAAUCUGCGAUAAGCGUCGGUAAGGUGAUAUGAACCGUUAUAACCGGCGAUUUCCGAAUGGGGAAACCCAGUGUGUUUCGACACACUAUCAUUAACUGAAUCCAUAGGUUAAUGAGGCGAACCGGGGGAACUGAAACAUCUAAGUACCCCGAGGAAAAGAAAUCAACCGAGAUUCCCCCAGUAGCGGCGAGCGAACGGGGAGCAGCCCAGAGCCUGNNNNNNNNNNNNNNNNNNNNNNNNNNNNNNNNNNNNNNNNNNNNNNNNNNNNNNNNNNNNNNNNNNNNNNNNNNNNNNNNNNNNNNNNNGAUGAGUAGGGCGGGACACGUGGUAUCCUGUCUGAAUAUGGGGGGACCAUCCUCCAAGGCUAAAUACUCCUGACUGACCGAUAGUGAACCAGUACCGUGAGGGAAAGGCGAAAAGAACCCCGGCGAGGGGAGUGAAAAAGAACCUGAAACCGUGUACGUACAAGCAGUGGGAGCACGCUUAGGCGUGUGACUGCGUACCUUUUGUAUAAUGGGUCAGCGACUUAUAUUCUGUAGCAAGGUUAACCGAAUAGGGGAGCCGAAGGGAAACCGAGUCUUAACUGGGCGUUAAGUUGCAGGGUAUAGACCCGAAACCCGGUGAUCUAGCCAUGGGCAGGUUGAAGGUUGGGUAACACUAACUGGAGGACCGAACCGACUAAUGUUGAAAAAUUAGCGGAUGACUUGUGGCUGGGGGUGAAAGGCCAAUCAAACCGGGAGAUAGCUGGUUCUCCCCGAAAGCUAUUUAGGUAGCGCCUCGUGAAUUCAUCUCCGGGGGUAGAGCACUGUUUCGGCAAGGGGGUCAUCCCGACUUACCAACCCGAUGCAAACUGCGAAUACCGGAGAAUGUUAUCACGGGAGACACACGGCGGGUGCUAACGUCCGUCGUGAAGAGGGAAACAACCCAGACCGCCAGCUAAGGUCCCAAAGUCAUGGUUAAGUGGGAAACGAUGUGGGAAGGCCCAGACAGCCAGGAUGUUGGCUUAGAAGCAGCCAUCAUUUAAAGAAAGCGUAAUAGCUCACUGGUCGAGUCGGCCUGCGCGGAAGAUGUAACGGGGCUAAACCAUGCACCGAAGCUGCGGCAGCGNNNNNNNNNNNNNNNNNNNNNNNNNNNNNNCUGUAAGCCUGUGAAGGUGUGCUGUGAGGCAUGCUGGAGGUAUCAGAAGUGCGAAUGCUGACAUAAGUAACGAUAAAGCGGGUGAAAAGCCCGCUCGCCGGAAGACCAAGGGUUCCUGUCCAACGUUAAUCGGGGCAGGGUGAGUCGACCCCUAAGGCGAGGCCGAAAGGCGUAGUCGAUGGGAAACAGGUUAAUAUUCCUGUACUUGGUGUUACUGCGAAGGGGGGACGGAGAAGGCUAUGUUGGCCGGGCGACGGUUGUCCCGGUUUAAGCGUGUAGGCUGGUUUUCCAGGCAAAUCCGGAAAAUCAAGGCUGAGGCGUGAUGACGAGGCACUACGGUGCUGAAGCAACAAAUGCCCUGCUUCCAGGAAAAGCCUCUAAGCAUCAGGUAACAUCAAAUCGUACCCCAAACCGACACAGGUGGUCAGGUAGAGAAUACCAAGGCGCUUGAGAGAACUCGGGUGAAGGAACUAGGCAAAAUGGUGCCGUAACUUCGGGAGAAGGCACGCUGAUAUGUAGGUGAAGUCCCUCGCGGAUGGAGCUGAAAUCAGUCGAAGAUACCAGCUGGCUGCAACUGUUUAUUAAAAACACAGCACUGUGCAAACACGAAAGUGGACGUAUACGGUGUGACGCCUGCCCGGUGCCGGAAGGUUAAUUGAUGGGGUUAGCCGCAAGGCGAAGCUCUUGAUCGAAGCCCCGGUAAACGGCGGCCGUAACUAUAACGGUCCUAAGGUAGCGAAAUUCCUUGUCGGGUAAGUUCCGACCUGCACGAAUGGCGUAAUGAUGGCCAGGCUGUCUCCACCCGAGACUCAGUGAAAUUGAACUCGCUGUGAAGAUGCAGUGUACCCGCGGCAAGACGGAAAGACCCCGUGAACCUUUACUAUAGCUUGACACUGAACAUUGAGCCUUGAUGUGUAGGAUAGGUGGGAGGCUUUGAAGUGUGGACGCCAGUCUGCAUGGAGCCGACCUUGAAAUACCACCCUUUAAUGUUUGAUGUUCUAACGUUGACCCCUAAUCCGGGUUGCGGACAGUGUCUGGUGGGUAGUUUGACUGGGGCGGUCUCCUCCUAAAGAGUAACGGAGGAGCACGAAGGUUGGCUAAUCCUGGUCGGACAUCAGGAGGUUAGUGCAAUGGCAUAAGCCAGCUUGACUGCGAGCGUGACGGCGCGAGCAGGUGCGAAAGCAGGUCAUAGUGAUCCGGUGGUUCUGAAUGGAAGGGCCAUCGCUCAACGGAUAAAAGGUACUCCGGGGAUAACAGGCUGAUACCGCCCAAGAGUUCAUAUCGACGGCGGUGUUUGGCACCUCGAUGUCGGCUCAUCACAUCCUGGGGCUGAAGUAGGUCCCAAGGGUAUGGCUGUUCGCCAUUUAAAGUGGUACGCGAGCUGGGUUUAGAACGUCGUGAGACAGUUCGGUCCCUAUCUGCCGUGGGCGCUGGAGAACUGAGGGGGGCUGCUCCUAGUACGAGAGGACCGGAGUGGACGCAUCACUGGUGUUCGGGUUGUCAUGCCAAUGGCACUGCCCGGUAGCUAAAUGCGGAAGAGAUAAGUGCUGAAAGCAUCUAAGCACGAAACUUGCCCCGAGAUGAGUUCUCCCUGACUCCUUGAGAGUCCUGAAGGAACGUUGAAGACGACGACGUUGAUAGGCCGGGUGUGUAAGCGCAGCGAUGCGUUGAGCUAACCGGUACUAAUGAACCGUGAGGCUUAACCUU